rnacentral:rRNA from 1 species
CACACCGCCCGUCACACCAUGGGAAUUGGAGUCUACCCGAAGGUGGUGCGCCAACCUGCAAAGGAGGCAGCCAACCACGGUAGGUUCAGUGACUGGGGUG